AGUGAACGCUGGCGGUAGGCCUAACACAUGCAAGUCGAACGGCAGCACAGUAAGAGCUUGCUCUUACGGGUGGCGAGUGGCGGACGGGUGAGGAAUACAUCGGAAUCUACUUUUUCGUGGGGGAUAACGUAGGGAAACUUACGCUAAUACCGCAUACGUCCUACGGGUGAAAGCAGGGGAACUUCGGACCUUGCGCGAUUGAAUGAGCCGAUGUCGGAUUAGCUAGUUGGCGGGGUAAAGGCCCACCAAGGCAACGAUCCGUAGCUGGUCUGAGAGGAUGAUCAGCCACACUGGAACUGAGACACGGUCCAGACUCCUACGGGAGGCAGCAGUGGGGAAUAUUGGACAAUGGGCGCAAGCCUGAUCCAGCCAUACCGCGUGAGUGAAGAAGGUCUUCGGGUUGUAAAACCCUUUUAUUGGGGAAGAAAAGCAGCAGGUUUAUACCCCGCUGUUCUGACGGUACCCAAAGAAUAAGCACCGGCUAACUUCGUG
rnacentral:rRNA from 1 species